CCCGGUAGAUGUAAACGGUAUGAAACUGGAUUGAUUUGUGUAGAAAUAGAAAAUGGUCCAAGUCUUCGAUAGUCCAACUUGUCACAAGGACGAGUGGUCUUGAUAUUACGACGAAGUAGCCAUACCUUAUCAUCCAAGAGGAAUGGUGGUUGUUCCUUUCGAUAGACAUCUACAUUGACCUUUUGUUGUUCUUGAGCCUCUUUUAACUGCGCCUUCAUCGUUGCAUGUAGCUUUGAUAAAUGAAUCACUAAAUCUUUCGCAGCAGGAUUAUCAACUUUUGAAAAGUCAAAA
rnacentral:lncRNA from 1 species